GCCCGGGUGGUGAAAUUGGUAGACGCAGGGGACUCAAAAUCCCCCGCCGCAAGGCGUGCCGGUUCGAGUCCGGCCCCGGGCACCA
rnacentral:tRNA from 2 species